CCUCACUAGAUCGAGUAGGUGAGGGUCGCCCUCGUCGGAUCUGGUGAGGGCGAGACCCUCGCUACCCUUGCCCAGGUCACGAGGGUCUUGCCCUCGCUUGUGGCUGGUGAGGGCCACGACGCUCUCAUUGGCCCCUACCUGUAGUCAAUCGCCGGCCACAAUCUGUGAUCUCGAACACUUGACUAAGUUCUUAUCGUUGCUCAGAUUCAGUUGGAUGGGUGAGAAGUGCCAUGCAUUUGUAUCCUUCUCUCAAGCGGCUGCAGCACUGGUCUCCAUGCCUCCGUGACCCACCUCCGUCGCGUCUCUCUUCCCCUUGCUCAGGUCUGAGCUCAUCUCCAUCUCUCUCCGGCUUCGUUUCUCUCUUUCUCGGUCUUCAUCGUCUCUCUCCGGCCCCGACUGUGGAUCCUCGCGGCUUCCAGCUUCAAUGCCACGCCUCUGCCACCUCAAUAUUAGGCCGACCAAGUUGCCUGACCAAGGAUAGAGGCUGAUCAGGAAUGGUUUGGCGGCAUGUCAUUGGUACGCGACCAACCAGGUCUUCCCUGCUGCGAUUCCAUCUUCUUCUGAUUUAGCUUCUUGAUUGCAGAGACAGAUGGCUGCGGCAUUGAGAACAACCUCUACCCGUUUGUCCACCUCAAUGUUAACGGCAAUCUAUUCAUUUUACCCGAGCAAGGGGCUCCUCUGUGUUGUUUCCGCUGAAGACUACUCUGCACAAUUCACGAGAAUUGCUGAAGCUGAAGUCAUGGUCUGUGGCGGAGCUGAAGUUUGAAGUUGGGCGGCGUUGUUUGAAUCCUUCUUAUUGUCUGUCUGGACUUUGGUGACCUGAUGCUACGCAUCUUGCUUUUCUGUAAUUGAAAGCAAAACUUUUCCAUUUUUGGGCUCAUAGGAGAUUGAAAGAACAAGGUUGACUUUGGUUCUUCAUCUUUUGUUGAAGAACAAGUUUGAGAUUAUCCCUAUGUUGAGUUGAAGGAUGAUAUUUCUCCCCUACUCUAUCUGUGACCUUCAUGAGUUUUCCAGUUUCCUUGUAACUACAAUGUUAAAGAUGGAUUUGAAUGAAGAUUGGAAGGUCAUAGAUUAGAUUGCUGAAUGAGUUCAGAGUUUUCUAGAGCUUGGA